rnacentral:rRNA from 1 species
UGGGGAAUUUUGCGCAAUGGGGGAAACCCUGACGCAGCAACGCCGCGUGAGUGAUGAAGGCCUUCGGGUCGUAAAGCUCUGUCAGAGGGGAAGAAGUGUGCGGGUCGUAAUAUCAUCUGCGCUUGACGGUACCCUCAAACGGAAGCACCGGCUAACUCCGUGCCAGCAGCCGCGGUAAUACGGAGGGUGCGAGCGUUGUUCGGAAUUAUUGGGCGUAAAGCGCGUGUAGGCGGUUUUGAUAAGUCUGAUGUGAAAGCCCCGGGCUCAACCCGGGAAGUGCAUUGGAAACUGUCAGACUUGAAUACGGGAGAGGGCAGUGGAAUUCCUAGUGUAGGAGUGAAAUCCGUAGAUAUUAGGAGGAACACCGGUGGCGAAGGCGGCUGGCCUGGACCGAUAUUGA